GGCGAACGCUGGCGGCGUGCCUAAUACAUGCAAGUCGAACGCAUGUUCUGUCACCGUUUCUUGCUACACCGAAAGAAAAUGAGUGGCGAACGGGUGAGUAACACGUGGGUAACUUGCCCAUCAGCGGGGGAUAACACUUGGAAACAGGUGCUAAUACCGCAUAAUUCCAUUUACCGCAUGGCAGAUGGGUGAAAGGCGCUUUUGCGGCACUUGUGGAUGUACCUGGUGUGCGUUGGGUAGGUGGGGGGGUAAGGGCCUACCCAGGCGGCGAUGCAUAACCGACCUGGAGGGGUGGACGGGCCCACUGGGACUGAGACCCGGCCCCGACUCCCACGGGAAGCAGCAGUAGGGAAUCAUCGGCAAUGGACGCAAGUCUUACCGCGCAACGCCGCGGUAGUGAAGAAGGUUUUCGGAUCGUAAAACUCUGUUGUUAGAGAAGAAAAAGCAGGAGAGUGGAAAGUUCCUCCCUUGACGGUAUCUAACCAGAAAGCCACGGCUAACUACGUG
rnacentral:rRNA from 1 species